rnacentral:rRNA from 1 species
UACAGCGGUCUCAAGCGUUGUUCGGAUUCAUUGGGCGUAAAGGGUGCGUAGGCGGCGCGGUAAGUCGGGUGUGAAAUUUCGAGGCUUAACUUCGAAACUGCAUUCGAUACUGCCGUGCUUGAGGACUGGAGAGGAGACUGGAAUUUACGGUGUAGCGGUGAAAUGCGUAGAUAUCGUAAGGAAGACCAGUGGCGAAGGCGGGUCUCUGGACAGUUCCUGACGCUGAGGCACGAAGGCCAGGGGAGCAAACGGG